rnacentral:rRNA from 1 species
UACAGAGGUCUCAAGCGUUGUUCGGAUUCAUUGGGCGUAAAGGGUGCGUAGGCGGCCGAUCAAGUCGGGGGUGAAAGCCUGUGGCUCAACCACAGAAUUGCCUUCGAUACUGUUUGGCUUGAGACCGGAAGAGGUUAGUGGAACUGCGAGUGUAGAGGUGAAAUUCGUAGAUAUUGGGAAGAACACCGUGGCGAAGGCGGCUCUCUGGACCGUAACUGACGCGAUGAGGCGCGAAAGCGUGGGGAGCAAACAGG